AUCCAGCUGACGAGUCCCAUAAUAGGACGAAACGCGCGUCCUGGAU
rnacentral:hammerhead_ribozyme from 1 species